rnacentral:rRNA from 1 species
CCACCCCCGACCCCUCCUCUCUCACCCACCACACAUGUUGCGCCGCCGCCGCCGUUGUUUCGUUCGGCACGCACCUCCUCACGGCGCAGUCCUCGGCCGCCCCGUGGGAACGCCGCCUCCGUCUCCGUCUAGCCGUCGAUAACCUCCUUCUUGUAUCUUCCGUCGGAAAGGUGCAACAGGGAUCAUCUCUUUCUUGGGCGGCCACGAGCUCCAUCCCCAGAUCGGUGGCAGACCCAGAAGCAUGUAUCCGAUUUUUCUGGAGUCCGUGGGCGAACCGCCGCCAGAUCCUCCCCGCUCCAGAUCUGGUCGGAGGUACGCGCGGACGUCGGGGCAGUUUCAGUUGGGGAGUCUCGGUUGGGAGGGGCUCAGGGCAGGUAUCGUUUCAAGGGGCUCGAAUGGCUGUUAGACAGAAUUUUUUAGCCAUCGAAUUAUUAUUGCACUUGCGAGUCAAAAUGUGCAGAAAGAUGAAUCAAAGACCACCACAGCAUCGACACAUUAACAUUGUUCUGGCUCCUCUCAUUUUCUUUCUUUCUGAAUCCCUCAAUCCAUCAGAGGAGCUCAAGUCCAAGUAGAGGCAGCUCAUGGACUUCUGAACAAAGACAAGGAACAAAGAAUCCCCCAAUGAGCAAAGAAUCCCCCAAUGCCCAAAGAUGUGUAUGUUACUUCGCAACUAGCACGCAAAGAACGUCAACCUUGAAACCUAAAGCGCUUUCUGCUUAGAGAACUACUGACUGAAACAGAGAAUUUCUGCAGCAGCACCAUUAUAUGGAGAAGUGUUGUUUUUUAAUGUUUACCAGGGGAAUCUACAUAUCACUAUCCAAGAAUGACUUCAUGUUCUGGUAUUCUUUUUUGGUUAUGUCUUGGGAUCAUACACAUUGAGCGGUCUGGGGAGUAUAUAUCUUUUCCAAAAAGCAAAGUAAAAUUCAAGGACAAAAGAUUUAAAGUAUAAUCGUUCUUCAGGUGUCCGCUAGAUGUGAAUGGUAACUUGGUAAGUAUUUUUUGUCUGCAGUUAUAACACAACACAACCACUUGCCUUUUUAGAAUCAUAGACAUCACAAAGCAAUAAUUCUGACAUUUUCACAAUAGUUGAUGUCCCUUCUUAGCUUUACAAAUAUAUAUUUCCUUGAAUAAAAAUAAAUAAAUAUAUGGUAAUUUGAAACAGGUCCAUCGCACAGGAGGCACUACACCUAGCAAUCUUAUUCCCAUAGAUUCAAGAGAUGUUUGAAAAACGUGAUAUACUACUUUUUCAAUUGUUUCUCCUAUUUAUUCAGGUUUAGUAACUACACGACUGAGUUCAAGAGUUAUACAUCUUGAAACAGUUCACUGACGGUUGACUGUGAAUCUGCAGGUGAUGAUUGUAUAGACGUGUGCAGAUUUGAUAUUGACAAUUUCUCUACCCAAAUGUUUCAUAGGAGUUUAAUGGUGCACUAUCUGAAUUAUGAAUCUGUGUGCAUCAUUGCACUGAGCAGAAAAUAAACUGUUGAAAACUAUUUGAUCGAUCAGUUGAAUAUAUAUUGGAAAUUAAAUUUGUGGAAUUUGUUGUUAUAAAAUAUAUAGUACGUAAUGCCAGUUUAAAACUAAAAUAAAACCCCUUCAUAGAUUUGCACCUAUUCCUAACUUUUUUGGGGGGACAUCUAUCGCUAACAUUACAUUGCAAAAAUGGAGGGGGCGCAGCUGCAGUCUGCACCGGAAUCGUGAUAAGAAACCCAACCUUUUGAAUCGUGAUAACAAGCAGUUGAUUUCUUUUGCUGAAAAUAUAUAUGAGCUGUGUGCAGAUUGUAUUCGUCUGCAAUCAGUUGCUUUGUCAAUAUGGAGUAGUCACAUCUUACCAGUGCACUCUCCAAUUCCCCAUUGUUGUCUCAACCUGUAAUUCCAUACCCUCUAAUAUAAUCGUCUUUGCUUCAGUGUACCCUGGAUUCGAACCAAAUCAUAUACCCACCAUGUGCUUCUAAUUGGGACUCUUGACACCUAACUUGCUGACUUCAACAUUCGAAUUGUAAUGAUGAGUAAGGAAUCAAGUAUCUAGAUCAUUUGUAUCACUUCUUAGAGAAUUAACCUAGCCAGCAUAAACACCAAAUAUUUACGUCCAGUAGUAUACUUAUGUUAAGUUCAACAUGGUUUAAAUUCACCAAAGUGCAGGUAGCUCUCACCAUCAACAUCACAUGGGACAAGUAUAAAUGCAAUCUGUAGUCAAUAAUGUUAUUGUUCAGUAGUUUGCUGCCUAAUCGUGAUAGUUUUCUUAGAACAUUGUUGUACCUUCAGAUUAGAAUAACUUUCUUAUAUCGACAAUUUGGUUCAGCCUGCAACUUCAUUGUUGUAUGCAUGGGGUAGAAGAAGCAAACACGCGGUCUACUCCAUCUAGCACCUCAACGAGAAACCACAGCGCAGACCACCCCUUGCAGGCUUCACAUCACGCACAAGAACGUUGCGAAUUUGGGCGGACAUACUAGCCUUACUACUCGAGUACUUGUUGGUCCGCCACAGAGGUAUGUGCUGGAAUCGGGGAAUAAUUACCUGUCAUGGCUAUAGUGACAUAUAUCUCUUGCCUUUAUUGUUCGCGCUUCUGCUAGUUCUGGUUGGUUUGAAAAGAUGCACAUGAACGGGGUUUUGUAAUGCAGCAGCUCCCGCUCCAAGUUGGCCACAAAACCCCAGGAGCAUGUUGAGGGCAUAAGGCAAGCAGAAUAACAAGAAAUCCGCCAAACAUUGUGUGUUCAACUUCGUUUUUGGUUCUGGGGAUUGCCUCUUCGUUGGCCUCCAGGUAUUUUAGUCUCAGCAAGGAUAUUUAGCUUAUUGUGCAAUAACCACCCACUUGGAUGGAACGACCUGGCAUAAUUUGACUGCAAAAAUGCAACACAACAAUAAGGAUUAAAGUCCAUGUUAUGUUAUUUUGAUAGAGUAAGUGGCUCCUUUCAUUCAAUCAAAAAAUAAAGAUACAUGGAGGUCUGCAAGUAUUUGAUAACUUUGGCUUUCUAUUCUUUUAGCAUUUUGUGUUUGGUACAAAUUUUCCUGCAUACUUAAAAGACUCAAGGUUGUGUUUUUGGGCUGAGUUUGACAGUAGUCUGUGCAUGGUAGUCAAAUUAUUUACAUUUUUAGUAAGAGUUUAUAACUUAGCUGUCAUGAGAAAUACGACACGUUUUGCAGUGGGGGUGCUGAAGUAUUCUGAGGCAAUCUUUGAUAGGAGUUGAUGUAUUGUUUUUCUUUUACUUGAUUUAGCGAAUUUCAAAAUUCUAUGCAAAUUUUAUAACUCACCUAUGUAUUGUUCAGAAGAUUACCCACACCAAUGUUGUGAUGCUAAUCUGCCUACAUGUAGGUGAUGACUUCCAUAGAUAAGAAUCGGUCUCCUUGUACUUUAACAGCUAAGUGUUGUAAAUUGGAUUCUAUUAUAUGUUGCCACAACUUUUCCAUAGUUGUUGGUAUAUGGCAAUGCUUGGCAUGAUGAGGUUCUGCUUAGUAAGCUUGCUUUUGUGUAACUCUUUCCUCAAAAAUAUGUGAUUGUGUGGUCGAAUUAAAUUCCCC